GUCUUGUUGGUAAUAAUAAUAAGUCUGACCUGCCCAGUGAUUUUUAAUUUAACGGCCGCAGUAUUUUGACUGUGCAAAGGUAGCAUAAUCAUUAGUCUUUUAAUAGAAGGCUGGAAUGAAUGGUUUGACGAAACAUUAACUGUCUCAUUUUUAUUAUUUGAAUUUAACUUUUAAGUUAAAAGGCUUAACUUUUUUUGGAAGACGAGAAGACCCUAUAGAGCUUUAUUUGAUUUAUUUUAUUAAUUUUUAGUUUAUUAUUUUUAUUAAUUUUAAUUUGAAAUUUGUUGGGGUGAUAGUAAAUAUAAAUGUAACUUUUAUUAUUAUUUUUACAUUUAUUUAUGGGGGUUAGAUCCAUUGUUAUGAUUAUUAGACUGAGUUACCUUAGGGAUAACAGCGUGAUCUUUCCUUUGAGUUCUUAUUUUCGGAAAGGAUUGCGACCUCGAUGUUGGAUUAAGAUUACAUUUAGGUGUAGCCGCUUAUUUUGUAGGUCUGUUCGACCUUUAAUUUCUUACAUGAUCUGAGUUCAGACCGG
rnacentral:rRNA from 1 species